rnacentral:rRNA from 1 species
CCUACGGGUGGCAGCAGUGAGGAAUAUUGGUCAAUGGGCGAGAGCCUGAACCAGCCAAGUCGCGUGAAGGAUGAAGGAUCUAUGGAUGGUAAACUUCUUUUAUAUGGGAAUAAAGUGAGGAACGUGUGCCUUGUUGUAUGUACCAUAUGAAUAAGCAUCGGCUAACUCCGUGCGCGCAGCCGCGGUAAUACGGAGGAUGCGAGCGUUUUCCGGAGUUAUUGGGGUUAAUGGGUGCGUAGGUGGUUAAUUAAGGCAGCGGUGGAAGUUGGUGGCUCAACCAUAAACUUGCCGUUGAAACGGGUUGCCUUGAGUCUAUUUGAGUUAGUCGGCAUGC